GCAGAAAGAGACGCAGGUCCUGAUCUUAGAGACCUCGUGUUCCAGUGGGGCAGGGGUGAGGAAACAAACAAGUCAAUGCAGGAAAAAGACAUAAAAUUCCAGAUGUGCUCCAUCAUCAAGACACAUCAGCUCUUAGAGGCCAUGGCCGGGAGGGGCCAGAGGAGGACCUGGAGGAGGGAGAGCCGGCGUCAGGAAGAAGACCUGCCGGAAGGUCGGCCUUCUCCGCGGCGAUUCUCAGAGGUACACUGGCAAAUCUACCUCCUCUCCCUCCCACCUCUCGGGAAGGCUGCUUGAAAGCAGUUGAGAUGACAAUUCAGAAGAGAAGACGAGUCGGGCAGCAGCCCACUUCCUCCAGCAGCUCCCGACGGGGCCUGCCAUGGCAGAGCUGUCUAUACCAGUAAGAACACCGAAUCCUCUCCAACGGAUGUUUUUUGUUGUGUUUCUUAAAAGAAGGGUUUAAGCAACCCCCCAUUCAUCCUCUUCUUCAAUGGCAUAAAAUUAU